GGAGUUGUGGCUCAGUGGUAGAGCACUUGACUAGCAUGUGUGAAGGCCUGGGUUCAAAUCUCAGCACCA
rnacentral:tRNA from 1 species